GCGAUUCGGCAUGAUCUGAUUUAUUGAUUUUUCUUGUUGUUUAUUUUUGUGGUAUUUAAUUAUUUAAUUGAAGAAUCAUUGUGGUUGUUGUAUUUUUUUGAUUUAAUUUUUUAAGCGAUAGUUUAUUUGUACUGUGAAGGGUUGAUAAAUAUUUUUUUGGAAGUAGAUUUUGUUUGUCGUACCUUGUGUAUCAGGGUUCAUUGAAUUUUAUUAUUUAUUUUUGUUUCCCGAUUUUGAAGGAGUUAAUGAUUUAUAUUAGUUACUGUUUCAUUAGUAUUAAUAAUAGGUUGUUGGUAGUGAAAUGUUAUUCGUCUUCGGAGGUUUCUGGUUUUUCAAGAAAUGAAUUUAAUUCAUGCAUUUUAUUUAAUUUCUGUUGUUUAUUUAUUAAUUUUUAUUCUAUGCUAAGAUUAAGGGGGAUUAGCUCCUUAUUUUAUUUUUAUAAUUUGUUGUCUUCAAUUUGGUUUUGUGGAUUUUAUAGUGAUUUUCAAUUUGAUUAUGUUAAAAUUUUAUUAUUUUCUUUUGUUUAUUUGCUUUAUAAAUUUAAUUUGUUUAUUGAAAUGUUUGCUUUAUCUUUGGUUAGUAUAGUAAUUAUUGUGUAAUUAGUAAAUUUUGUUUUUAUGUUGUUUUGUUCAUGGGAUGUUAAUUUCUUUUAAGGAAUUAGGCAAAAUUUUAUGUCCGCCUGUUUAACAAAAACAUCUUUUCUUGUUAGUUUUUGAAGUAUGGCCUGCCCACUGACUUAUUGUUGAAGGGCCGCGGUAUUUUGACCGUGCAAAGGUAGCAUAAUCAUUAGUUCUUUAAUUGUGAUCUGGUAUGAAUGGCUUGACGAGACAUAAGCUGUCUUAUGAGUAUUGUUUAUUGAAUUUGGUUUUUGAGUUAAAAUUCUUAGAUGUUUUUAUGGGACGAGAAGACCCUAUAGAGUUUGACAUUUAGUUCUUGUUGAUUUGUUUUGUUUGUUAUUUUGUUUUUAAUAGGUUAAGUGUUUUGUUGGGGUGAUGGGAGGAAUGUUUUUAACUCCUCUUUGUUUUUAUAUAUUUAUUUAUAUUAUUUUGAUCCAUUUAUUUUGAUUAUAAGAUUAAAUUACCUUAGGGAUAACAGCGUUAUCUUCCUUGAGAGUUCUUAUUGGCAGGGGGGUUUGCGACCUCGAUGUUGGAUUAAGGUGAAUUUUCGGUGCAGGAGCUGAAAUUGAUUAGGUCUGUUCGACCUUUAAAAUCUUACAUGAUCUGAGUUCAGACCGGCGUGAGCCAGGUCGGUUUCUAUCUAUAAUGUAAUUUUAUACCUUAGUACGAGAGGACCGGGUAUUUGGAAUAAUUUUAUUUGUAUAUGAUUAUUAUUAAUAUAUUUUGCUAUUUUGGCAGAUAAGUGCAUUGGAUUUAGAAUCUAUUAA
rnacentral:rRNA from 1 species